AACUCAAAGGAAUUGACGGGGGCCCGCACAAGCGGUGGAGCAUGUGGUUUAAUUCGACGCAACGCGAAGAACCUUACCUGGGCUAGACAACGGUGGACCUCCCCAGAGAUGGGGAUUUCCCUUCGGGGACUGCCGGAUCAGGUGCUGCAUGGCUGUCGUCAGCUCGUGUCGUGAGAUGUUGGGUUAAGUCCCGCAACGAGCGCAACCCUUAUCAUUAGUUGCUACGCAAGGGCACUCUAAUGAGACUGCCGGUGACAAACCGGAGGAAGGUGGGGAUAACGUCAAGUCCUCAUGGCCCUUAUGGGUAGGGCUUCACACGUCAUACAAUGGUCGGUACAGAGGGUUGCCAACCCGCGAGGGGGAGCUAAUCCCAGAAAACCGGUCGUAGUCCGGAUCGGAGUCUGCAACUCGACUCCGUGAAGUCGGAAUCGCUAGUAAUCGCGAAUCAGAAUGUCGCGGUGAAUACGUUCCCGGGCCUU
rnacentral:rRNA from 1 species